UAAGGAAUAUUGGUCAAUGGACGAAAGUCUGAACCAGCCAUGCCGCGUGGAGGAUGAAGGUCCUCUGGAUUGUAAACUUCUUUUAUAUGGGACGAAAAAAGGCUUUUCUAAGUCGUCUGACGGUACCAUAUGAAUAAGCACCGGCUAACUCCGUGCCAGCAGCCGCGGUAAUACGGAGGGUGCAAGCGUUAUCCGGAUUCACUGGGUUUAAAGGGUGCGUAGGUGGGUCUGUAAGUCCGUGGUGAAAUCUCCGAGCUUAACUUGGAAACUGCCAUGGAUACUAUAGGUCUUGAAUACUGUGGAGGUCAGCGGAAUAUGUCAUGUAGCGGUGAAAUGCUUAGAUAUGACAUAGAACACCAAUUGCGAAGGCAGCUGGCUACACAAAUAUUGACACUGAGGCACGAAAGCGUGGGGAUCAAACAG
rnacentral:rRNA from 1 species